rnacentral:rRNA from 1 species
GACGAACGCUGGCGGCGUGCCUAACACAUGCAAGUCGAGCGAAUGAAGUUCCUUCGGGAAUGGAUUUAGCGGCGGACGGGUGAGUAACACGUGGGCAACCUGCCUCAUAGAGGGGAAUAGCCUUCCGAAAGGGAGAUUAAUACCGCAUAAGCGCACAGUACCGCAUGGUACAGUGUGAAAAACUCCGGUGGUAUGAGAUGGACCCGCGUCUGAUUAGCUAGUUGGUGAGGUAACGGCCCACCAAGGCGACGAUCAGUAGCCGACCUGAGAGGGUGAUCGGCCACAUUGGGACUGAGACACGGCCCAGACUCCUACGGGAGGCAGCAGUGGGGAAUAUUGCACAAUGGGGGAAACCCUGAUGCAGCAACGCCGCGUGAGUGAUGACGGCCUUCGGGUUGUAAAGCUCUGUUUCCAGGGACGAUAAUGACGGUACCUGGGGAGGAAGCCACGGCUAACUACGUG